rnacentral:rRNA from 1 species
AUGGAGAAGCCGCCGGGGGCUUCGCCGCAGACCGCCGCGGCAGCCGCGGAGGUGGCGGCGCAGUUCAGGUCGCUCGUCAGCGCCGAGGACGUGGAAUCCAUCAAGCAGGCGCAGCACCUCAUACUGGGGCGAUUGCAAGAUAGUAAUGCAGUUCUCACACAUUUCAACGAGUAUUCUGAGCAAUGCUUUGCGGAGGUGUCCAGUGACCUUGCUAGCAAAGCUCGCCUUCUCAAGUCGAUGAAGGAUGAUCUUGACCAUAUUUUCAUGAAGCUGAGAAGCAUGAAAUCAAGGUUAGCAACAACAUAUCCAGACGCUUUCCCUGAUGGCGCGAUGGCAAAGACCAUGGACCAAAGACCAGAUCUUGAAACUCCUCUGGAAUAG